rnacentral:rRNA from 1 species
AUUGAACGCUGGCGGCAGGCCUAACACAUGCAAGUCGAACGGUAACAGGAAACAGCUUGCUGUUUCGCUGACGAGUGGCGGACGGGUGAGUAAUGUCUGGGAAACUGCCUGAUGGAGGGGGAUAACUACUGGAAACGGUAGCUAAUACCGCGUAACGUCGCAAGACCAAAGAGGGGGACCUUCGGGCCUCUUGCCAUCGGAUGUGCCCAGAUGGGAUUAGCUAGUAGGUGGGGUAACGGCUCACCUAGGCGACGAUCCCUAGCUGGUCUGAGAGGAUGACCAGCCACACGGGAACUGAGACACGGUCCAGACUCCUACGGGAGGCAGCAGUGGGGAAUAUUGCACAAUGGGCGCAAGCCUGAUGCAGCCAUGCCGCGUGUAUGAAGAAGGCCUUCGGGUUGUAAAGUACUUUCAGCGGGGAGGAAGGGAGUAAAGUUAAUACCUUUGCUCAUUGACGUUACCCGCAGAAGAAGCACCGGCUAACUCCGUGCCAGCCGCCGCAGUAA